AACGCUCCUGCCAGCUCCGCUCCUCUAGUCCAAGUCCUUUAGGUCCUGUCUGGCCACGUCACCACCUCCCCGCAACACCCCGCCCGGGAGUCCCUUUCCGGGACCCGCCACACUAUCGUGUCCUUUUGCGCCCGACGGCCCCAGAGCCCAUCUAAGAUGGGGGAAACAGAGGCCCGGAGAGAUUCUUGCCGGAGGAAUACAGCGCCUCAAAGGGCAUCUGAUGCCCUGUCCCCGUCGCUAGGCUCUGGUUCCCACUCCCUUUAUCUCCUUAACUCCCAAAAUGUGGACCGUGACUCUCCCCAGGGUGGACUGGAGCUCUGAGCUCAGUUUGCCUCACAGUCUAUCCCACUCCUGCUCUAGGACUUUUUCUCUCUCAUUUCCAGGCCACUCCCUCAAACGGCUUGCUUUACUUGCUUGGUGGGUGGGGGCCUGCCCUCGGGUUUCAUUUCACCCGGGAGGAGGUCGCAGCGCCCCCAAGUGGUCGCAGUGUCCUUAGUCGGGGUCGGGGGGUGCGGCAGGUCGGGCUGGUCCUUAGGGGUAGGACGGGGACAGGGCAUCAGAUGCCCUUUGAGGCGCUAUAUUCCCAGGCGCUGUUCCCUCUGCCUGGGAAGGCUUUCCCUGCUUUUCCUAGCUACAUCCUCCAAUUUUUUUGUAUUUUGAGACGGAGUCUCGCUCUGUCGCCCAGGCUAGAGUGCAGUGGCGCGAUCUCGGCUCCCGGCAACCUCCGCCUCCCGGGUUCGGGUUCAAGCGAUUCUCCUGCCUCAGCCUCCCGAGUAGCUGGGAUUACAGGCGCCCACCACCACGCCUGGCUAAUUUUUGUAUUUUUAGUAGAGACGGCCACUAAAAAUGUUGGCCAGGCUGGUCGCGAACUCCUGACCUCAAGUGAUCCACCCACUUCGGCCUCCCAAAGAGCUGGGAUUACAGGCAUGAGCCACUGCGCCCGGCCACAUCCUCGAAUUUUAAGCCUCAGCUAAGGAAUGAUUGAUUUCUCUCCAAGCAUUCUCUCUGGCCUUAGGCUGAAAACCAACUGUCCUUUCUGUGCUCCCAGGAGCCCAAUCUGUUCCUGCUCCACUAUCCCAUGCUGGUCUAGGAGGCUCCAGAGAGCGGGCUGCUUCCUCAGCACCCAGCACGACGCCACCAAAAUGUCCCCUUGGAUGUGCACAGUCCUUUCUUUCACAGAAAAACUUCCAAAUAUUGAAUUAUAAGCAGCCCACAGUCCAAAAGAGGGGUUGGAGAGAGGCAGCUGGAGCUGACCGUGGUCAUCCUUCCAUAGCAGUUGUGGUCCUUGGAAAAGUUUUCUGGUGGGAGACAAAAAUCUGCCUUCCUGAAAUUUCCACCCUGUGGUUCCAGCCUGCUGGCUGCAGCAGCCAUUCUGAAAGCAGAGAUUUGCCCUUGGCUCCCUGAAUAUCACUUUCUGGGGUUGAGAGAUCACAUGCUGUGGAGGAAGCCAGACGCCAUGUUGUGAAGGCACGCAAACAGCCUACAGAGGUCCACAUGGUGAGGAACUGAGGCCUCCUGCAAACAGCUAGCAAUGACUUGCCAGGCAUAAGUAGCUACUUUGCAAAUGGGUCUUCCAGCUCAUCAGGCAUUCAAAUGACUGUAGCCUGACUGACAACUGACUGCAACCUCCUGAGACCUUGAAUCAGAACUGCCCAGCUCCCAAAUUCCUGACCCAUAGCAUCUGUGGGGUAUAAUAAAUGUUUC
rnacentral:lncRNA from 10 species